GUGGCGGAGACCAUUUGGGCGGCAGCGGAGGUGGCGGCGGCGGCAGUGGCGUCCCGGCUCGGGAGGCGCUCCUCGGGCCAAGGCCAUGGCCCCGCGGCUGCAGCUGGAGAAGGCGGCCUGGCGCUGGGCGGAGACCGUGCGCCCUGAGGAGGUGUCGCAGGAGCACAUCGAGACUGCCUACCGCAUCUGGCUGGAGCCCUGCAUCCGCGGCGUGUGCAGACGAAACUGCAAAGGAAAUCCUAAUUGUUUGGUUGGGAUUGGUGAGCAUAUCUGGUUAGGAGAAAUAGAUGAAAAUAGUUUUCAUAACAUCGAUGAUCCCAACUGUGAGAGGAGAAAAAAGAACUCAUUUGUGGGCCUGACUAACCUUGGAGCUACUUGUUAUGUCAACACUUUUCUUCAAGUGUGGUUUCUCAACUUGGAGCUUCGGCAGGCGCUAUACUUAUGUCCAAGUACCUGCAGUGACUACAUGAUGGGAGAUGGUAUCCACGAAGAGAAAGACUAUGAGCCUCAGACAAUUUGUGAGCAUCUACAGUACUUGUUUGCCUUGUUGCAGAACAGUAAUAGACGAUACAUUGAUCCAUCGGGAUUUGUUAAAGCUUUGGGCCUGGACACUGGGCAACAGCAGGAUGCUCAAGAAUUUUCAAAGCUCUUUAUGUCUCUGUUGGAGGAUACUUUAUCUAAACAAAAGAAUCCAGAUGUGCGGAACAUUGUCCAACAGCAGUUCUGUGGGGAAUAUGCUUAUGUAACUGUUUGCAAUCAGUGUGGCAGAGAGUCUAAGCUUUUAUCAAAGUUUUAUGAACUGGAGUUAAAUAUCCAAGGCCACAAACAGUUAACAGAUUGUAUCUCGGAAUUUUUGAAGGAAGAAAAAUUAGAAGGAGAUAAUCGAUACUUUUGUGAAAAUUGUCAAAGCAAACAGAAUGCAACAAGGAAAAUUCGACUUCUUAGCCUUCCUUGCACUCUGAACUUACAGCUAAUGCGUUUUGUCUUUGACAGGCAAACUGGACAUAAGAAAAAGCUGAAUACCUACAUUGGCUUCUCAGAAAUUUUGGAUAUGGAGCCUUAUGUGGAACAUAAAGGUGGGUCCUAUGUGUAUGAACUCAGUGCGGUCCUCAUACACAGGGGAGUGAGUGCUUACUCUGGCCACUACAUCGCCCAUGUGAAAGAUCCACAGUCUGGUGAAUGGUAUAAGUUUAAUGAUGAAGACAUAGAAAAGAUGGAGGGGAAGAAAUUGCAACUAGGGAUUGAGGAAGAUCUAGCAGAACCUUCUAAGUCCCAAACACGUAAACCCAAGUGUGGCAAAGGAACUCAUUGCUCUCGCAAUGCGUACAUGUUAGUUUAUAGACUGCAAACUCAAGAAAAGCCCAACACAACUGUUCAAGUUCCAGCCUUUCUUCAAGCGCUGGUAGAUCGGGAUAAUUCAAAAUUUGAGGAGUGGUGUAUUGAAAUGGCUGAGAUGCGUAAGCAAAGUGUGGAUAAAGGAAAAGCAAAACAUGAAGAGGUUAAGGAGCUGUACCAAAGGUUACCUGCUGGAGCUGGUCUGUAAGAUAUUUUGGGACAGCACUGUUGCCAUUAAGUGCCUUGUUUUUUUAUGUUCACAAAUGUAUAUAAACAAACUUUCUCCUGUCUUUUCUUAUAACUCACUAAAGCCAGCUUAUAUAUCUCUAAAAUUGCUAUGUAAACCAGUGAGUGAUACCUUGAUGUGUAGCAUUCCAUAUAAUUUUCAUUAUUGUAUACUUUUUAAAAAGGAGAGGCUCUUGAUUAAUUAUGAGAUAUAGGUCAGCACUCUGGAUUCAUGAUUUUUGUAGAUAUUUCUAUUUUGUGAGAAUUUAACUUGUUUCUAAAGAAAAAUCUGAUUGGAUUACAGUGGGAGCAACUUUCUUGUUCUGUUUCUUUGAAUACUUUAUGCCCUAACAGUAUUAACAGGCAUUCUUUUAUAUGAAUAUAAUUUUUUGGUACUAUUUGAUGAACUUGAAAUUUAAUAUAAAAUAUAAAAUUUAAUAUAAAAGCUGUAGAAAAGCUUUGUGCUGACCUGUGAUUUCUUAGAAUUAUCCCACGUAAUCCAACUCAUCCCAUUACUGAAUAUGUUAUUCAAGUUUACCUAAUGUCUCAAAAAAGAAACCAACUUUAUUAAGGCUGAUAGUGCCAUUUGUAAUAAAUUAUCUUUGUCAUUUUGCAGACAUGAAUUCCCCAAACCUAACUUCUGCUUACAGAAGAGAAACAAUUUAAUCCUAACUUUAGAAAAUAAAUACUCAAGCAUAAUUGCACUUGUGGUUUUGUCUUUUUAAUAUCUUAAUUUUCCAUUACUGGUAUAACUUUAAACAAAAGACGAAUAUCAAUCACUAAAUUUGUAAGAAUAGAUGUCAAAAGUUCUUUCAAAACUGCAUCUUAAUUUGCUUCUGACCCUUCUUUGUAACUUGCUUCUUUAACUCUGUGGAAGGGUUGAGAUUAUCCUAAAGAAUUAGACUGACAUUGGUUUAACUGGAAAUGGUUUGGAAAUGAACCCAUGAUUCGAUUCUCUAAAUUUAUAGGUUAUUGUUCAAAGGAAUUGGGACCUAGAAAUCUAUUUUCUGAACUUUAUUCACAGUUUCCUAUAUUCACUGGACAAGAGAAAGGGACUUGUGGGUCUAAAGAGAAAUUCUAUUUUGAACCACUCCUUAGAACUAUGUAGUUCAAAGAUGUUAUAUGUCGAGUUAACACUGUGCUUCCCAUGGCUGUUUUCAUUCAGUGUAUAAGAACCUAUACUUAUGUUCUGUGUUAUUUAUACUAUUACCAAUUAUUAGCUUUAUAAUUUUUUUCCACUUGCAGUAAAUUUACAUAGUGGAAAUUCCAUGUUUUCUUAAGAUGAUAUAAAAUCUCAGUUAAUGACCAUGGUUUUGUGCUGGCAAUGGAAGUCUUUUGUUAUGCAUUUUCUAAAUCUUAUCUUUGUGAACAUAUUUUUUAAAAGGUCACUUACCCUAAAAUCUAAGCCUCAUGAGAACAUCCUUUGGUCCUUUUAAUUUAAAUUGAAAUAUCCCUACAUUAUCUCUAGGUAGUAUGUUUCAAAUAUAUUUUAUGCUGUGAUUGUUCUAGGCUUUAUAACUCUCCAAUAGAAAAUUUGUUGUUUUCAAAAUCCAGGACUUUUUUAAAAAUUAGAAAUAAUUUUGAACCAAAAUGUGUAUUUCCCUUUGGUAAAUAUUUUAACAGUUGCUUUCCUGGUUUAUCAAAUGCUAAAAUUCCAUGUAGUCUGAUAUCUCCAACUUGAUAACGAGGUAGCAGCCUCACUUCGAUUUGGUUAUUGAUUAUGCUUGCCUUUGGAAGGAAAUGCUUAGGUAGUUUACCGAAUCACAGAUUCUAGCACAAUCUGCUUAACUGUGAGACUUGUGCUAGACCCCUGUUCUCAGGGAUGCUCUUGGCAGAGAUUGAUGUAACUCUUUGUAAUGAUAGAGAUUGAAAAUGGAAAGUGAGAAAGACCUCUGUGACCACAGUUGCUCUUCCUUCCCUGGCUCCCACAGCACACUAAAAUGAAAAUCUGGCUGAGUUAAUAGUAAAUACGGUGUUAAAUUAGAAUUAUGGGCCCAGUCUCUGCUCUCUUCCUUCCUCUUCUUACUAUAAAAUCACACAUGGUUUUUCUACUCUUUGUAUCUUACAUUAAAUUCAUAUUGAAUUAUUAAAAAACCAAAACAAUAAGCUUCACUUGCAAGUUUCCUGUGGGAUUGAAAAAUGUCUUGAACUAAUUGCCUUUGAGUCCCAUUGUUGCUGGACGGAUCAGGGUAGCAGUCACCCUAGGCCUUGAAUUCCUGUAUCUAUCCCCUGGCUAGGAGUGCUUAAUGCAUUUUUAGUUUUCCUAGAUUCCUUUCAUUGUAAGGGUCAGGAUUCUUAUGUUUAUUCUUCCAGUUGGCAAUAAUGGCAGGUAUUGCUUCUUCUUCACCCCUCCCCAGCUGCCAGGGAAACUAAAAUACCUAGUGAAUUAUUCUCAAAAUGUUGCUCUUUAUACAGUGCUGUUGCUUUUUUUUUUUCUUUUUUCCUUUGAUAGCCUUCAAGGUUACCAAAAAUUUUAAACUAUCUGACUAUAUUUGGGAAAAGAUUAGAUAUGCUAAAACUUUUUAUUUGCUAUUGGAUAGGGAGCAAAUAUCUGCAGUUAGACACCUAAUGUACUCUAUCCCUAGCAGAUUAAACUUGAUAAAUGGCAAAUAAAAUUGAGAGUUAUUUCAAAGGUAAUUAACCAUACCAUGAUAUGUUGUAAAAUGCUACAACUAUGUUAUCUAUACUGCAUCUUAAGGUCUCCUCUUUUAUAUAUUAUGUGAAUGUAUAAUUAACUUUUCUAUAUCUCUUUUCUUCCAAAAAGCUCAAAAUGCUUCACAUAUCUUAUCUUUUACACUCAACAACAUCCCUGUGAGAGCCCUAUGAGUUUGUCUCUCUUGAGUGGCUGCAAAAGUGGUUGGAUGAAUCAACACCUACCAAGCCUAUUGAUAAUCAUGCUUGCCUGUG